GGGUGUUUGGUCUAGUGGUAUGAUUUCUGUUUUGCAAUGACCUUGUGUUCUCUGCAUUCUACAGACGACCCCGUGUUCGAUCCACGGAGCAUCCA